UAAUUCUUCCCUAAGAACGUUUUGGCAAUCAGAUGCUCUUCAAAAACCAACGAAAAUAGCCCGGCGUGUCUUUGCUUCACCUUCUGUUCUCUGCCUGUCCGUGUGGUGGGUACCCAGCCCCCGUCUGUCUGGGCCCCCCUGGGUCUGCUGUCAGUUUGGCCACGGGGGUCCUCCCGCCCCAGCAGGAUUUCAGAGCCCUCUUCUCUAAGUGUGUGUUGUCCUUUGCCAGUCAGAGUCUGGGAGCAAGGGGUCCCCAGUUAAGUAAGUUUGGGCUAAGCAAAUCUUGCUGCUGAAGAGUUUCUGAACAUUCUGACUGCCGACAGACUCUGAGCGACGCACCUCCAAAGCAGCAAGCUCCGAGCCCCAGAGUCCCCUCCCCUGCAUGGCUUGUGGGGCUCCUGUUCCUCAGGGCACCCUCGCGGGAACACUGGCCUAAGGUGGGGAAAGCCACAGGAAAAGGCACCCAAGACCUUGGAUUCCACGGCACUGGGUGGGAGCCAGGCACUGCAUCCGGCAGUGGUGGGUGCUGGAGUAUUUCCCACUGCACACACCAGCUCCGUCACAAGAAAUAAAUGCAGCCCUGCUUUAAGUUAAGAGAGGUGCUCAGCUUUCCGGCCUCCCGUGCUGAAUGCUCUGGGGGCUCAGGGUGAAGUUCGCAUCCAUGAGCACUCCGUUCUCCUGAAGCCCAUGGGCACAAGGUUCUGGGGGUCUGAUGGCGCAGUGAAACGUGGGCCUGUCUGGAGACUGGGGGUCCUGAUGAAUCAAUCGCUGAGCCCUGAGGUGGCAUUUGGGAGUCUCCUCCCCGCACGCCCCACCCUGUGCCCUGGCUGUGCGGAAUUUCUGGGCUCAGACAUCCUUCGUGACUUCCCGCACCUGUCGCCAGUGCGACCAGUCUCUUCUCCCUGCUGAGCCCCAAGUCAGGCACGUGGCGGGUUUCUUCUGUAACGAGGGUCCUUCUUACAAGAAGUUCCUCUUAGAAGAAAAUCAAAUUCCGAAGGGAAAAACACACUGCUUCUGUAAAAAUAAAAGCCAAAAAAAAAAAAACGUUUUGCACAAGCAAUAGUUACUCCUCACCAUUUUAAAAACAAAAGCCAAAUGCUGUUUUAUAAUUUUGCACCCUUAAUUUUUUUCACACGUCCUCAUGAGCAAAAGAAUCAUUCUUUUUGCAAUUUUAGGAUGACAGUCCCCAUGACUAAAAAAAUCACGUGAUUCCAGCCAGCUUUUCCAGGGACACAUUGUCGCGCAGUUACUGGUGGGUAGAGCUUUCUGGUGAAGUUCUGAGAGUGGGCAGAGAGAAAUUUCAAGGGCCCUGUUAUCAUGUUUUGUCUGUGAGAAAAAUUGAGCAUUGCUACAACGAGAGAGUUCCCUGAUCUUUGAGGGGCAGCGGUCGUUGGGGAGAAUAUUCUACAAGUGGUACUUCAUCAAUGGUUCAGUGCAGGGCAUUGACUCCUAUGAGAGUCUUAUUGACUGGCGUUGCUGUUUACAUAGGGAAGACCGCUGGAUUCUUGGAAAGCCCUGAAAGCAUCAGGCCCCAUUCGCUUCCCCAGCAGUGGCUGGCUGGUCCUUGGGGCGGGGGGUUCAGGCCUGGCUUUGAGGGGGUGGCAUGCCUUUCAAACAACCCUGGGAGCUCAAACUUCGCUACAAAGAUCUGGAAUGAUGGACAUAUUUUCCCUAGAAGAAUGCUUUUGUUCCUUGGGUGACCGCAGCCGACAUAUGCUUACAAUGAAUUCUUAAAGUUGGGGUUUGUUUGGGGAUUUCCAUUUCUUUACAGCCUGCAGUGAAUUAUCAUGUCAACCGUGAGCCUUUUUUUCCUAAAAGCAUUUUACACUGUACCGAAAAGAUUACAUUCUUUUGGCUUCGGAGAAAUAUUUCCGGUUCCGUCCAAGCCAUCAGAGCCUGUUAGUGCCCCACAUGUGGAAGCCCGCGCCGGGUCUGCCUUCCAGCACCACACAGAGACCCGGCAGCCCGCCUCGGCCUCCAGCGAGGGCUGAGUGGCAGGCCCAUGGCGCCCCACUCCCAGCAUCAGUUCUGCUGGACUUCCUGCAUGGAGACCCCCGAGGGACCCCUUUCUGGUCCGGCCACGCAGUGGAGUCUGCAGGGGCCUGGGUGCCCUCGGGAUACUGUCCAGGAGGUUCUUCGAGGGGAUUCCACUGCCCAGCAGCAGAACCACGUGGAAAAGACCGUGGCGGCUACCCAGUGGACGUUUUGGAAGACGACCCCAGUGGGUACCGGGAAGCCGCCCUGGCGUACUACGCCGAGCUAAGGGCAGGAACUCAGCUCGAGGCAGAGGUCUUCUCCCUUCCCACUGGGGAGCAGGUGAGACUUGAGGCGCCCUCCGUUUGCUUCUGCACGGUGCAUCGUGACGAACCUCAGCACAAAAUCUUGGUCUUGGUCAGUCCCCGGGACACAAAGACAGUGGUGGCGCUCUACCUGAAGGGGUCCUGGUGGGCCACCGAAGACGCACUGAGGACCUCGGACCCUGCCAGAGAAGGGCUGGUGAAGGUUCAGUCGUUUGGGAAAAGGGUGGUGCUUUUCAUCCUCAACGUUGUCAUUUUUGGAAGACUGGAGAGAAGACUGGACGAUGACGACAUGUUUUUUUUACCUCACUCUGGGAGGGAGGAGGCUAAAGUCCUGUGGAGGGACGGCGCGGCCGUCGGAUUUUACACAACCAAGGCGAAAGGUGAGGGGCGGCGGGCACCCGCGGCGGAGAGGUGGCUGCCCAGGUGCGGUGCAGAGAGGGCCUCCGAGCCCAGCGGUCAUCGCCGACGCAGCUGCCGUGGAAAUCGGCCCGAGGUCUUCUCGCUGCACCUGCAGACAGGCUGCACUCACGCCCCUUUGAUUCUCAGGCCAUUGCAAGUUCUCCGUAGAAACCUUGCCACCGUCAACGGUGUAGAAGGACUCUGUGGGUACCACGCUUCUCAUUUCUGUUCUUUAAUGUUACCUGCUGGCCCCCAGGACGGAUAGGAUUGCGGACAGCUGAGCCGAGGUGCAAAGGCAGGCUGGGUGCCGCGGUUCACGGACCUUACCAGCUGGGGGCGGGCAGCAGGCGGGGGUGAUGGUGUUUCUGGGUGGGGACAAGAAGUGACUGUGGAGCAAGGACCCGUCUGACUGAGGGGUCGGUCUCUUCUUCAGAGUCUCCUUGCAGUUGCUUGCUUUCACAGUUUUGAAGUUUUUUAGGUUUGUUUUCAACUACCAUCGGCGCACGGCGUGAGUGUCAGGUGUACAGCGCAGCGACCAGGCGUCCAGAUGCCUCGUGCGUGGUCAUCCCAGCGCUCUGCCUGGUCACGCGUCUCCUUUGCUGAAGCGUCUGUUCAGAUGUUUUCUUCAUUUUUUAUUGGGUCGCUUGUUUUCUUAUUUCGCUUUGACCAUUCUUUACAUGCUAUAGAUAGCAUCUCUUCAUCACUGUGUAUUUUGUAAACAUUUUCCUUUUGGUACGACGCUGUGUGGGAAGAGAAGAUUUAAAUGGGGACUGAGUCCGAUUUGUUCUUUUACCACUCUGUAGUCUCCUGGCUUCUGCUGGGGUCAUCUUGGGACCCUCCCCCUUCAAACCCACUGGACUUCAGUUCUCUGCCAGCGAGCUGAUCUGGACACCUUGGGGGUGCACCCGUCAGGGUGUGUAGAGGGUGUCCCUUAGCUGAGGUUUGUGAGGUUGUUUUCUAUGAUUAACUGGGCGUGUGUGUUUGGAGGGGGGUGAGGCACCCUCCUCCUCACAGGGUCUCCUCACACGGGGGGACAAGGCACCCGCAUGACUAUUGGAGAUGCUCCCCUGGCUUCUGGAGCGGGCCUGCGGGGCUCCCCCUCUGGAAAUGUGCGGUAUGUCCUUUCCCACACUGAAUUACAUCUUCCAAGCAGCGUUUUAGUACAACUUAUUGUAUCCUUUAAAGUCACUGUAUCGAAAUGUAAUGUUAUGUCCCACCAAACUGUACAAUUCAGUGGCUUUUAGCCAGUUUAGAGAGUUGGGUGUGAUCAUCACCCGAAUACAGAUUUGGGGAGUCUCCUGCACCCGAGGGGCUGCCCGUUUGCCGUCAGCGUCUGCUCCCACCUGGCCCCAGGUGUGCACGCAGCCAUCCGCCGUCCGGUCCGUUCACCCUUCCUGGGCCUUUUGGGUCAGUGCAGUGACACAGGAAGUGGUGUUUUUCCACAUCUGGCUUCUUUCACACAGCGUGGGAUUUCUGAGGCUUGCAUGAAUGGCAGCAAGGACCAGCUCCUCACCCCUUCCUGCUGCUGGGCGGCAGCCUGUGCGGCAAUGGCACAGGUGCGUGCUACCUGCUGCCUGUCUUCGACACCGUGUUUGUCAGGAGGGGACACCGUCGCC